GGUCCGAUGGUGUAGUUGGUUAUCAUAGACGUCAGUCGAACACACUGAAGGUCUCCAGUUCAAGCCUGGAUCGGAUCA